UGGGGAAUAUUGCACAAUGGGGGAAACCCUGAUGCAGCGACGCCGCGUGAACGAAGAAGGUAUUCGUAUCGUAAAGUUCUGUCCUAUGGGCAGAUAAUGACAGUACCAUAGAAGAAAGCCCCGGCUAAAUACGUGCCAGCAGCCGCGGUAAUACGUAUGGAGCGAGCGUUGUCCGGAAUUAUUGGGCGUAAAGGGUACGCAGGCGGUUUAAUAAGUCGAAUGUUAAAGAUCGGGGCUCAACCCCGCAAAGCAUUGGAAACUGAUAAACUUGAGUAGUGGAGAGGAAAGUGGGAUUCCUAGUGUAGUGGUCAAAUGCCUAGGUAUUAGGAAGAAUACCAGUAGCGAAGGCGACUUUCUGGACACAAACUGACGCUGAAGUACGAAAGCGUAGGGAGCAAACAGG
rnacentral:rRNA from 1 species